rnacentral:lncRNA from 1 species
GCAUUACUUGCAAUUACUGAUUUGUAAGUUGUUAAAUAUUGUUGAUUUUUAUUUUUGUGAUAAACUUUCUGAAUAACCUGACUCUUAACUUUUACCCAUGCAGAAAAAAUAAAAUAAAUUACUCAACUGUUUGAACUAUUUUUCUAGAUCUUGAUCUAAGAUCUUAUUUUCAUUUGAUAUUAAGCAAUUGACCAAGUUAAUUCUCCAGAUCAUUAUAUAGUAGCAACUUUCAAGGUUAGAAAGUCAGUUUCUGUGCUGGAAGACAACAUUUUGCAGCUUCGGGAUGACAUUUUUGACGAAAUAGGUGUUCCCACCACCAAAGUAUCUCCUCCUCUCUCCCUUUCUCUGUGUAUGUGUCUGUGGUCUGACCUGUUCCAUAUUAUUGUCUAAUUAUUUGUUUCCAACAGGCGGAAAUCAUAUCUUUAAAGUCUUUGGCUGGAUCAAAUAUAACACAGGUGAUUUUUGGGUUUGAUCCCGAUGUCAAGGGUUCUAGAAUGUCUUCAGCGGCUAAAAGUUUAAUAAGAGCCUCUUUUGUAUCGCUGAUUAUACACCAAUCAUCUCUCCGCUUGACCGCGUCUUUGUUUGGGGAUCCGUUUUCUUUUGACGUGCUGAAAUUUGUUGGAGGCAUUACUGUUAGUCCUCCACAGAGUGCAUUUCUUCUGCAGAAAGUGCAGAUUCUUUUCAACUUCACCUUGAAUUUUUCUAUUGAUGAAAUACAAAAAAAUUUCAACAAACUUACGAGUCAGCUGAAGUCCGGGUUGAAUCUCGCUCCAUAUGAGGUCUGGAAAUAAUAUCUCUUAUUUUUUUUCUCUUAUUCUCUUUCCAUUUAUAUCGUUCAUAUGCAAUUCUUGCGCUAAAAAAUGCGAUAAUGGUGAGCGUUUGUCUGCUAGAUUUCAGAAAUCUAGGUCAAUUGUGUAACAGCGUUUACACGUGUGCUGUGGUACAUUUCUCUCGUAGAAAGUGAGGGUAAUUAUGAGAGAUUUCUGAAGAUAUGUUUUUUUUUGGGUUGGCUGCAUUGCUAGAGCUGAUUUUGUUAAUGCCAGAGCAAGUGUUGAGUUAUCUUAUUUAACUAUUUCGUAAUGAGUUCUACAUUACUCUGUUAUACAAAAUCUUGUAAUAUAGUGGAAGAAUAGCCUCUGAAAGCUUUUUCCCCUUUUUUUGGAAUGCAGAACUUGUAUAUUACCCUGACAAAUUCAAAAGGUUCAACAGUGGUUCCCCCAACUACUGUGCAGUCCUCAGUUCUACUGGCAGUUGGCAAUACUCCAUCAAUGGGAAGGUUAAAGCAGUUGGCUCAGACCAUAACGGGCUCUCCUACAAAAAACCUUGGUUUGAACAACACUGAAUUUGGGAGGGUUAAACAAGUUAGUCUUUCAUCUAUUCUGCAGCACUCCCUUCAUGGUGGUGAUGGUAGUGGCACCUCAUCGCCUUCUUCUGCUCCUCUCUCUCAUCCUAACCAUCAUCAUCACCACAACCACCGUCACCAUGAUGUGCAUUUAGCUCCUGCAACUUCACCUGCGCCUUCAACUGUGAAAGGUGGAUCCACAAAUCACCACCAUCACCACCAUGAUGUGCAUUUAGCUCCUGCAACUUCACCUGCACCUGCAACUGUGGAAGGUGGAUCCACAACUAAAAAAGGUUCACCUGCAUCUGCACCAGUGCCUGCACCGACGCCUGAGAAGAGUCAUAAGGCAAAGCCUCCUGGCUGCCAGUAUGGGCAUAUAAACAGAUUUCCCAAAAAGGGUAAUAAGCAUAGCCAUUUUAUUCCUCCUGUUGCAUCGCAGGUCCCUGUAAAGGAUGUUGCUCCCUCACCACAACAGCACGUGAAUCCACCUGCACCUGUUCCCCGUCUAAUACCUGCAUCAAGUCCAUUGCCGCAUGUAGUAUAUUCUCAUACGAACCCCCCACCAAAGAGGGUGUUUGAUGCAGAGCCUCCUGAAUUAACACCAUUGGUUUCACCUUUACAGUCUUCAUGUAAGUAUUCUUAAUAUUCUGGUUUUCCUUACUAAAAGUUGGGUUCAUGCUAUCUUUCCUAUUCUGUGUGCGAUAAAAGUUUUUUCACAUAAUCUAGUGAGUUCAAAGGCUGAAAAACAUUGGUAUGUUGGAAAUAAAAUCUGAUGCUUGAACACGUGGCUUUGCAGCUUCUGCAGGUUUCUUUCCCUCUCACAAGUGGAUCCUGCUGUUUCUGGUUCUUGUAUUAGAUUUAUAGCUGCCUCUAUUUUGAAGUCUUAAAUCACACUCUCUCUCUAUCUGGGGUAUUUGACAAAGAACUUGUUUGUAUCAUCUAUCCAAAUGAACAGAGCAUGAAAACUGGAUGAGCUAUGCAAGUGGGAGCUACGCAAAAGAGGCGUGCCUCACAGCCGAGUGGAUAUAUAAUGUUUUUUGUGCAUGUAAAUAUUUGAGUAAAAAAUCAGUUGGUAGAUGCAUUUUCAGGUCAAAGUCACAGAGGUGACGGGCCCUUGGAAUGGAAUGCAUUGCCACUGACCACUGUUGUGUGCGAGAAAUCAAUCCAACAAAUGUAUCAAGCUUGACGCUACCCCAUACCAUCUCUUUAAAAUCGUCAAUUAUGCUUUUCUAACUAUAGAAAGAAGCAUUCUGUUUUUAUUUUACGCAUGCAUGCAUGCAUGCCUUCCGUUUUUCUUUUUUAGCCGAGUUUUAAAAUUAUAGAUAUAUUUUUAUGUUUGGAACUAUAAAGAACAUUCCGUACAGUUGGCAUUUUGAUCGAGUUAAAAUACAUUUUUUCAAAGGAAUAUAUUUGAAUAAAUAAAUUUUACUUUUACUUGCUAGAAAAAGCCAAGGAGCUAGAGCUUCAUCAGAAGGAUUAGGUGAAUGAGUAAACCCGUUCUCAUAAAUAUAUAUAUAUAUAUAUAUAUAUAUAUAUAUAUAUAUAUUUAAUUAUAAGACGGCGGGAGUAUAUGAUUAGAAUUUAAAAUUGAUAUGAAUUCAUAUAAAUUUUAAAAAUAACAAAUAGGUAGUACUUUUUAAUCCGUUUAUAUUAUAAUAAUUAUAAUUAUUUGUACUAGAAUUUUAAUCAUAUUGAUUUUGAUUUUUUUAGGAUUUUGUAAAUGACAAAAAAAACUCAAAAUAUAUCGUAAUUAAAAAUUAAUACGUAUUUAAAAUGGUAUUUAAAUCGUGUUGUGUAGUGAUUGUCAAGUCGCCAUCCUUUCCACCAUCUCAUGAUAGAUUCCUUUCUUUCCAGUUUCCACCCAUCGCACUACAUCAGAAUUCCAGACAAGUGUAUGGUUAAAGAAUUGAACCAUUUGACCACCGACUGUACCGGUGGUUCAAACUACAUGAACCCCUUAAACACUAUUAGUCGUGUGGGAACACAACCAUAUUUUAUUUUAAAAUAUUAAGGGAGAAGUUUUAAAAUCUUAUUUAUUAUUAACAACGUAUUCUUAUGUUAGAUUAGAGUAACAAAUGUGAAAAUAAAAUAACUCAUUCCUAUAUUUGAUUGCGAUUGAAAUAGAUUGAAUCAUUCUUAUUUUUUUCAAAUUUAUAAAUUUUAUUCUUGAGAGAAGAAGAGUAUGAAAUAACUCAUUUCAUCUAUAAUGGAAUGAACACCGUAACAUUAACAUAACAUUAAUGUUUAUGAAGUCAUAAUGAUUUGAUUGGGUAGAGUAAUACAAGUGACUAACUGAGACUUGGAACAUUUUAAAGCUAUAAAAUUAACAACUAAACGUCUAACAAUGUAUCAACACCAACGGAUUAGCUUAAGGCACAUAUCACGGGUUCAGUGUAGUAGUUUCUUCUGUAAUGAUAAUACUUGAUAAUUUACCAUUUCCAUAACCAAAAAUUGUUGCCCAAAAAUAGGACUAUAACUAGAACCCGAACCCAUGCUAUUAGGGGUCGUUCAUUCAGUAUAAAAGAGAAGUUUAAUUGGUAGAGGAGAAGUAUCUUAAUUCAGUAGGAAAUAAACAGAGGACUUUUUGCUAAUAAAAUUUUCACAAUCACACUACAUAAAUAGCCGCACCAUAGAGAGAAGAAAAUAAAUCUUGCUCACACAAAUACACAAUGUCACAAACUGUUUAAGACCUUUUUAGGCAUUUUUGUUCUGCUGGUGACCCUGCCCUGCCCUCCUGACCAGACCAGAAACGGCGGAGAUCAGGAGAGAAGAAACCCUGGUCGUCACGUGCUCAGUUCCUGGAAAGAAGAUCAAAUCCAGCAGCCGAGAGAAAUCUAAGAAGAAAGACCUAAGCAAAAAGGAGAGAAAAAUUCCCAAGUGCUCUGUACAAGUUAGAUGUAAGCAAUUCAAGCUUUUCAUUUAAAUUUGAUACGAAUUCUCAAGCUACCCCUCAAUGCAUCCCUGAGUUUAGGUCCAUUAACUUUGUUGAACUGUUGGAGGAGAAUGAUGGGUGUAAAAAGAAUGGAGGAGAAUUUUGUAAAAAAAUUGCAAUUAUUUCAGACCAUGGUUCAACUUGGUCAAAACUCAAAAGAACUCUCAUUUUGCACUUUCCCAGACCAUGGUUUUAAGCAUGCAGCAACACAAUGCUUGUUGAGCAUUUAUAAACCCUUAUAACUAGAGCAUUGAACAACCAGGCAGAAUAAAACUAAACAGCAUCAUCCAACAAUCAAACAUCGCAAAACUAGUACCCACAGGAGAGCAGUUUACAACUUUCCCAAGUGCUACCACAGAAGAUCACUCCCGUAUUCAACCAUAUUCUCAUAUUUAUUUAUUCACUCAGCCAUUGAGGAACUAAAGUGAAUCUAUCUACUUCUUAUCUUUUUUCAUAGGCAAAAUUAUAGACUAGCUACUAUGUAGGCUACCUCUAAGAAAUUCAUGUGCCAAAUAGUCAUUUUACUGAAACGUUCCUUCAUUAGGAAAUUCAUAAAGUACAAAAGGCUCGCUAAAGAACAAUGUAUAUGGGAUGGAACUCAAAACCAAAUGCUUUUAAGUAAAUUAUACUACAUGUAUUAAUUAAUUAAUAAUGGUGUGUCCUAUCAUGGCUAAAAUCUCUUAUUAUGGACUAAUGGCAACCUAUACCAAUGUUUUCACAAAAUAUUCUGAAGCAGCAAUUCAGAACGCAAAGACGCAAUCUAUACCCAACAGCAAUAUACUCGGAUGCUGCCAGCCUGCCACUGCAAAGUUUUUCCAUUAUCCAAUUAACCUAGAAAGGAAGCAUCCAUCCAUCAAACAGAUUUCAUAUUGAACAAAAAACUUGACUAAUUUUCAGGAAGUAACAUUCAUUCACAAAUCCAACAUCAUACAUUGACACCUAAACUCCAAAUAAAGUUAACCACAUUCCAAAAUCCAAAUGCUUAGUCAAGCUUCUUUACCUACACUCCAAAUAAAGUUAACCACAUUCCAAAUGCUUAGUCAAGCUACUUCCAAGCUCAGAUGAAGAAGGAAAAAACUAAAAACCAAUUGAAUCCAUAUCCAAAAACUGUCACGGCAUAAUAAGAUUGCCAUAAUUUAAUUUCAAUAGAAAGACAUAAACAGAUAUCAUAUCUCGUUUUAAUAAAGAACCAUAAAUCCACAAUAAGUCUUAAGAAGCAAAUAUCACACGUUACAUUAUUACAUCCAUAAGACACCCUAUAAAUCAUAAUAUGAAGUAUAUUCACAAUCACCCAUCAAGGCAUCAACUACCUGAAAGUCUAAAAUAAAAACAACCCUAUUUCUUCAUAAAACCCCAAAUAGACAUCAACAUUCGAUUCAACUUUCAAGCCACAUUCAAGCUUCUGCCGAUCUCAAAAGAAAGAUAAGCAUCAACACAAGCAUACUUUACCUGGGCCGGAGUGAGAAACUGAUUGUCCCACCUACUCAUAGUAAUAUUCCGGGGCUUAUUGAUCUCCUUAUCCAGCACCACCCUGGCCAACUCUUUCAGACCCGCGUUAUUCAGCUCCCUCAUUCCGUAGUUCUCUGCCGCCACCGAACGAAGAUCCACGGUGUCGACCACACUCAGCCCAUAAUCCUCCAGCAGCUUCUCGACAUCGCUCUCAAUUCCCAAACCCACGAAAGUGUAAUCAGAGUCUUCGAGAAAAUUCUCCAAGGAGGUAGGAAUAUAAGGGGCGUGGAGGAUUUGGAAGAUUAGGCAUUGGCGGCCUACACAGAGCUGUAAAGUGGCGACUCGGUUAUCCUGGUUGCGCUGGAAAUUGGGGCGCCACUCGACGUCGAGACCGACGAUGAGGUGGUUCAGGCGUCUCCAGUGGAUGCGCUGGAUGUCGGAGAUCCACGUGUCGACGUAGGAAGGGGUGUCGGUGACGAUUGUGCGAAUCUCGGUGUCGAAGAAGGUUAUGUCGUAAAGGUUGUGGCUGUCGUACUGUAACUGGUGGUCAACGAUGGUCACCGUCAUGGCUUGGCAGAGAUGGACUGGAUUUUAGAGAGAGAAAGAGAGAUUUACUUGGAAAGCGAAAAGGGUUUUACAUAGAGAAUGAUGUUCCAGAUUUAAGGGGCUAUUUGUAAAAAUUAAAUGAAUUCGAAUCCAAAUUUGAAUUUGAAUUUGAAUAUGAAUAUGAAUGUGAAUUAGUUAAAUUUGAAUUAUAUACGAAUUUAAUUGGUAAUUCUCUCUUUGGAGUUGGAGUUGUAAAAACAAAUUAAUAUGCCGGCCUUUUAUCUUUGUAAUUUAAUAUAGUAGUAUAUAAUUUUAGCACACAAUCACAUUAAUUAAAAAUUUAUUUUAUAACUUAGUUAUAAGUCAUUGCCAUGUUUUUAUUUACAAGUCAUUUUAAAAUUAAUAGGAGUAGUUCCCAACACCAUCUUAAAGCAUAACUAUUUUUAGGAUCCCUAUUUUUAUGCUUUUGGAAGGAGAAUGAUAUUUCAAUGUAAUGUACUAAGUACCUAUGCUCUUAAAAAAUUAUCGUUUAAAAUUUUUACACAUUGAAUUAAGAAAAUAUUAUUUAUUAAAUAAAAUUUAUUUAAAAUUCAAUCACUACUUCUUUAUGAAAAGUUGAAAAUUAUUAGUAAUACAAGGGAGAGAAUUUCUUGGGACAAUGAGAAAAAAUAGGAGUAAUAUAGGAAAGUAAAUAAUUUAUUCUUCUUGAAAGUUGUAAAUCAUAAAUUUUUUGGAACAAAUUUUAUCUUCUAAAACGAUAAUCUUUUAGGAACAGAGGGAGUAUAAUUUUUGAUACAUAUAAUAUGGCCUUGUGUCAUUUGUGUUGCUAAAAAUAAUUUUUUUAACAACAAUAUUUUAUAACAUGUCUGUCCAUUUACAAAUAAAACAAUUGACACGAAUUAAUUGCACUUCUUUCACUUAUAAAUUAUUCCUUUCGUUCCGUAAUAUAAGUCGUUUAAAAAAAAAUAUCUCUUAAUUAAUAUAAGUCGUUUGAGAAUUUUAAGUAAGCAUUAAUUGCUUACUUUCCAAUAUUAUCUCAAGUAUUAAAUAUAAUUUUAAUUCUCUCACUAUUCUCGUUCAAUAAAUAACACUUUUUUUUCAAUACAAAUAUAAUAUAGACAAUUAAUAUUAUAUUCAAUGUUUACAAUUAUUUUCUUAAUACUUGUGCAUAACUCUAAAACUAUUUAUAUUAAGGACAAUAAUUCUACAGUGACAUUGGUUUGGGGACAGGGUUUGCGAUCGGCUGAUGUGGUUGUGCCAUAUGGAAGAAUAAAAAAAACUUACUCAUCACCCGGAACAAACAUUUUCUCUCUAAUAAACACUCUCCAGUAAACACUAUCUCUCACACACCGGAACAAACCUCCUCUCUCUUUCUCGUAAUUCCCUGAUUUGCUGCCGCUAGAGCAAGCUUCCUCCUGGAACAAGUGAGAUCCAAAAUCACAAGCUUUUAAGGUAUCAUUUUUCCAUUUCGUAUUCUCCUCCUUCUACCAUUACUCUCUUAUACAUCUAAAUUUUCAAAACCCUAAAACUCCAGUAUGCACAUCAUAUGAAAAAAGCAGAGAAAAAGGCAUGGAGACUAAGAUAAACUUGAAUAUUCCAAAUGCAAAUCGAUAUAAGAAUUAUAUAACCAAUACAAAUUUGAAAGACCAAUUUGUACCUACUGAAGGCAUUUUGGUCUAAAAAUACAGUAAUCAAUAUUAAGGAAAGAACAACUCAAUCUAUAUUCUUUACUCAUAACAGGCACUAAAUGUAUAAAUUCCAUUUUACUGCUCACGUAUAGAAUUUUCGCGACAAAGUAAUUUAGGGCUUUCGUUACCAAUGAAGUCUAGACACAAAUUACUUGCACAACUAGUCACUAGUCAUUGCAGAAUCCUUGAUUUAGUCAUAGAUUGUUCACCCCAAACAAGAAUUUCAACCAAAACAAAAGUUUGCACAAAUUUUAAGGUUUUGGAAAUUUAAGCGUAUGAGAGAGUAAUGGCAGGAGGAGGAGGAUACGAAAUGAGAAAAUGAUACCUUGAAAGCUUGUGAUUUUGGACCUCACUUGUUCUAGGAGGAAGCUUGCUCCAGCAACAGUGAAGCAGGGAAUUACGAGAGAGAGAGAUAAGAGGUUUGUUCCGAUGUGUGAGAGAGAGUGUUUAUUCAGGGUUUAUUAGAGAGAGAAGGUUUGUGUGAUGAGUAAGCUUGUUUUUUUUUUCUCUUCCACGUGGCACAGCCACAUCAGCCGGUCACAAACCCUGUCCCCAAACUAAUGUUGUUGUAAAAUUAUUAUAUUAAGGAACAGAGGGAGUACAAUCAUGAAAGCAGAUCCUCUGUCCUCAAUUCUCCUGUCCCCUUGUGUCCCCCCACUUAUAUUUUGACACUUAAUCUCUUACUUAACACCAAUUAAUUCUAAAAUUAAAUAAAAGGACAAGUGUCAAAAUAUAACCGGAGGGACACAAAGGGGAUAUAAAAAUUAGGGACAGAAGAUCUGCUCUCGUACAAUCAUAGCUACAUCCGUUCCUAAAAGAUUGUCGUUUAAAGUUUUUUGCACAUGAAUUAAGAAAAUCAUUUAAUAUUAUCAUUUAACAAUUAAAAUUUGUUUGAAAUUCAAUCACUACCCCUUUAUGAAAAGUUGAAAACUAUUAAUACAAUGGAGAGAAUUUCUUGGAACAAUGAGAGAAGGUAGAUGUAAUAUAAAAAAGUAAAUAAUUUAUUCUCUUAGAAAAUUAUAAACGACAAAUAAAUUAAAACAAACUUUUUCUUCUAAAACGACAAUCUUUUAGGAACGGAUGGAGUAUAUAUUUAUUUUUGUUAUAAUAAAAUUAAUAAAUAUUAAGAAUGUAUUUAUAUUUCAUGUUUGGUUUUAAAAAUAACAAAUUAUUAAUUUUAAAAUAGUAAUAUAAUAAAAAUAAAAUUUUAUUUUUAUUAAACAAAUUCAUCUACAUGCAAGACUCGUUUUUGAUAAUCGAUAUUUACAAAAAUAAAAUUUAAUAUUUUUAUAAAUCACUAUCAAAUAAAUGUAGGGUCCAUUACUGUAAGAGAAAUCUUAUAAAAUUAUAAGCAAAUUCCCUAAAAUAUUAUUCCCUCCUGUCAAUCCAUUUCCCUCUAAAUAAAGUUAAAAAUGUCACUCUCUACGUUCUCUUCCUUUUCUUUUUCGCAGUGGCCUCUCUCUCUUUAUAUAGACCUGACAAACGGGCCGGAUCAUCGACGGGCCGGACUAUCAACAGGCCGGGUCAAAAUGACUCAAGUUUUGAUGGACUGAAAUUACGCGGCCCGUGGCUCAGAUUAGGCCGGCCCAGCCCGACCCGCGGGCUUUUUCAUUUUUUUUAAAAUCCGUAAAUACUGUAAAGCACAGGAAGGAAAUGACUAAAUGAGUAAACAUAUUACUAAUACAUACAAUGAUACAAAUGAGAAAAACUAAUAAAUAUUAAAUGAACCAAGAGCAAAUAGAAUAGAAUCCCAGCAAGAGUUAUUGUAAAUCCAUUCAUCCCAAGCCACUCCCAUCACUGCAAUAGCAAUAAUAAAAUUUACCCAGCAACAGUAAUAUUUUACUUCAAUCAACUUCUAGAUUUGAGUCAUCGUUAAAUACCCAAUGAGAAAACUGAAACUGAAAGGGGAAAAACAAAGAAAAAGAAAAGAGAAUGAAACAAAUCUACUAAUAAAACAUAAAUGUAUUACAUAAAUGAUUGUAUAUAAGGAUAUGGCUUCAAUUCAAUGACUGGAAUUUUUCUUACACGAGCUAAAGAAUUAAAUAUACAGAACCCACAUUAUAUGUUCUUGUUUAAUAUUCCAUUUGCACAUUAUCUGAACUCUUCUAAUGGACUUUAGAAUGAGAAGAAAAUCAUGCAGGAGCAGGACAUCAAUUUUCAAGAAACUGCACUACCAUAUGAGAGAAAAAUCCUGUAAAUCAUCUUCCAAAUUAAAAGGGUAACCAAAUUUAUGUAAAGGAAAAAUAAAAGGACGAACAAGAAAAAUGAUAAAUAUCCAGAUCGAAUAAUUGCAGGACAUAUUAAAAAUUAAAACACACUAACUUUUUUACCUAAAAACAAGGAAUUCAAUAUUUUGGGCAAAAAAGUGAAAGAAAAUUACAUACCUUGAACCAAAAAAGUAGAUCUGAUCCUUCAACCAAAAAUGAAAAAGCUAAGCAACAAAGUCGGGACGAAGAGGAUAAAACACUGAGAUAUAUUAUAUAUAGAGAUAAAAUUACUCAGAUUCGGGACGAAGAGGAAGAACUAAGAAGCUACAUAGUCGGCGACUCGGCGUGGUCGAUCGAAGCGUGGAUUUCUCGGUCGUGACUCGUCGUUGGCUCUUUGAGGACUCUCAGUUUUAGAUCUGAAUCAUCUGAUAUCAAAAAAGACUAGCUAAGCCGGUUAGAGUAUAGUGUACUCGAACAUAA